rnacentral:rRNA from 1 species
UACGUAGGGGCAAGCGUUGUCCGGAAUUAUUGGGCGUAAAGAGCGCGCAGGCGGUCGUUCAAGUCGCGUGUGAAAGCCCCCGGCUCAACUGGGGAGGGUCACGCGAUACUGAUCGACUCGAAGGCAGGAGAGGGUAGUGGAAUUCCCGGUGUAGUGGUGAAAUGCGUAGAUAUCGGGAGGAACACCUGUGGCGAAAGCGGCGCACUGGACCACAACUGACGCUGAGGCGCGAAAGCUAGGGGAGCAAACAGG